ACUUCCAUCUCAUUUUCCUGGAUGAGGGCUCCUCGUUCAGGAAGAGCUUGUGUAACUGGGAAGACUUCUGGGAAGUCCUUGGAGGCUGGGAAAAGAUGGCCCCUCUGGUCAACAACUUGGUGCAACAGCCAAAUUAAAGAUGGAACCAAGAAAGAUCAUUGUGGAGACUGAGUUGUGCCUGUGAAGAGACUUCUCUGGCUGUCCCGCUGUCCUGGCAGCCUGCCCCUGUGCGGUAGUUGAGGGUCAGUUCUUGGAGAAAAGCCCAGCCAGAGGCCUGCACAGGGACUUCCUGCCAUCUGGAACAGUCUGGAGCACAAGGAAAGAUGUCAGCAAGAAACACUCAGUCACCUAGCACCUUCUGAAUGUCUUUCUUUAUAACUGAGGAAUUCUUCCUACUGCUGGCCCAGCCUCCUCACAGUGUAAGCCCCUGAAGCUCUUUCCUCACUUACAGUUAGGGAAUCACACAGAAAUGGUUUAGACUCCGGCAAACCCACUUGUUCAUUCGCUAAAGAAACUGUGUUGGGAGAGAACAAUGAGAGGAAUUUGAUGCCUCACAGACCCCCUUUUC